rnacentral:rRNA from 1 species
CCCUUAGAUGUUCUGGGCCGCACGCGCGCUACACUGAUGCAUUCAACAAGCCUAGCCUUGACCGAGAGGUCCGGGUAAUCUUUGAAACUGCAUCGUGUUGGGGCUAGAUUAUUGCAAUUAUUAAUCUUCAACGAGGAAUGCCUAGUAAGCGUGAUUCAUCAAAUCGCGUUGAUUACGUCCCUGCCCUUUGUACACACCGCCCGUCGCUCCUACCGAUUGAAUGUGUUGGUGAGGAGCUCGGAUUGGCAGCAGUUGGUGGUUCGCCACCGGCUAUUGCUGAGAAGUCCUCCAAACCGCCCCAUUUAGAGGAAGGAGAAGUCGUAACA